CCCGGCCGUAGGCAACUGCCUAGGUUGCCUUGUAUCUAGGCAAGUGUUACACUGCUGGGAGAAAAGCAGCCAAUACCUGGUGGGCAUU
rnacentral:snoRNA from 1 species